rnacentral:rRNA from 1 species
UCGGGAAUUUUGGGCAAUGGGCGAAAGCCUGACCCAGCAACGCCGCGUGAGGGAUGAAGUAUUUCGGUAUGUAAACCUCGAAAGAAUGGGAAGAAUAAAUGACGGUACCAUUUAUAAGCUCCGGCUAACUACGUGCCAGCAGCCGCGGUAAUACGUAGGGAGCAAGCGUUACUCGGAAUUACUGGGCGUAAAGCGUGCGUAGGCGGUUCGUUAAGUCCGUUGUGAAAGCCCUGGGCUCAACCUGGGAAUUGCAGUGGAUACUGGCGAGCUAGAGUACGGUAGAGGAUGGUGGAAUUCCCGGUGUAGCGGUGAAAUGCGUAGAGAUCGGGAGGAACACCCGUGGCGAAGGCGGCCAUCUGGACCAGUACUGACGCUGAGGCACGAAAGCGUGGGGAGCAAACA